AACUGUCAGCUAAGUGGUGAUCGAUAAUGUUGAGGGGUCAAAAGUUAAUUCAGUUAUGUUGUGUGACCUGUGAGUGUGUUAGUGAGUUAGAAUGAACUUUUAACCUCACUUGAUUCUAGGUCGGGAGGAGGGGAUUCAUUUUAGGAGCAAUGAAAUGAUGUCAUGUUAUUGUAUAUAAACUGUUGCUCGUGGUAAUGUGGGAGCGCGCACUGUGUAGCAUUCAUAGAAGUGGAAGUGUGGUCUGGCCUCUGAUGUGUUCUCUGGGAGAGGGUGGGGCUUUACAGGAGUGUCAGUGUACCUGUGUAAUGGGGGAGGGUGUCCGUAUGGGGAUUACAUGAUAACCAACUUGGGACAGUUCUGGGAUUGGAGAAGAGGGUAUCCUUAUAGCAUAGGGGAUCCCACAAAGGUGGACAGGUUUUCCACGAUAUGGGGGAAACCUGGGAGCACUGUUGAACUCUGUAAAGGUGAUGACAUCCUACUAACCAUCAAAACUAUUAAGCUCUCUGAUGCAGGCACUUACACCCUCGGACUACAAAGGACCGGGACAGACACGAUGGGUGUGUUUUCUAUUAAGGUGCUGCCAAAACCACAGAGGUCCCAGACAAACCAGAGCCAGACACACUCCUCUACCACCCCUGGACUGAACCUGCCACCACUGUGUCAAAUCUCAUUCAGGUAAUUAACAUUAGAGACUAUUCAGCUUUUGAUCAAUUAGGCACUGAGACUGGUUUUGAUGGUAGGGACAAUUUGUGGCUGUCUUAUAUGAGGUACACAGCUAAAACCCUGAGAAGAAAGGACUGCAUUAUUUGUAGUCAUGCUAGACCUGUUUUGGCUACACACUCAUUUACUGUAGGAGAAGGAGAGGGGUGGUUGUGUAUUCUGAGAGGUUUUUACCAGGUUCAGCCCAAUUCAACUCUCUGUUCCUCUUUGAGCCUUGUGUUUCCUACAGUACCUCCUCAUCGGGUCCCUUCGGGUGUUAAGGCAUAUGGGGGCAAUUACAGUUGCAUCACAGGUACAGGUAAUGGCAUUGAUUAUGGGAGAUUGCCUGAAGAUGAUUGCAGUAGUAACAUAACCAUUAAUGCCACUUGGCCAGUUACAGGCCUAAACCAAACUAGUGGUCUGGCUGAUGUGUGGUGGAUCUGUGGACCCAAGAGAGUGCUGAGACCCAUUCUUAGAGGAGACUGGCAAGGUACGUGUGCUCUGACCAGUUUGAUAAUUCCACUGACCAUUGUUGAUGUUACUGCUGAGCAGCUGUUGGGUUCUGUAUCCAGGAGACCUGAAAACAUUCCAUCCCAUGGGAGACAUAGACGUAGUGCUCCAGGACAGAGGAUGUAGUUGGCAUACACACUAACCUGUUGGGAGUGCCAGUGGGGGUUCCUCAUGAGUUUCAGGCCUUGGGUAGGAAUGAUGGACUCUGGCACUUACUACCUAUUAUGGGUCCAGCCAUAGUGGAUACUACAGACUGCAUGGAUUAAUUACAUCUACUAUAAUCAACAGCGUUUUGUGAAUUACUCCCGUGAUGCACUCACUGGUAUGUCUGAACAGCUUGAGGCCACAUCUAGGGUUUCCAGAAUAUACUUGCUUUGGAUAUGCUUUUUGCCAGUCAGGGGGGUGUCUGCAAGAUGUUCGGUGAACAAUGUUACACGUUUAUUCCUAAUAACACCAGUCCAGAUGGUAGUAUAUCUAAGGCCCUUAGUGGGCUUGAUGCACUAUCUGCUGAGAUGAGGACCAUGGCGGGGGUGGAGGAGUCUGGACUGUUCUCUUGGUUGGGAGCCUGGUUUGGUAAGUACACUGGCAUGGUGGUUACUGGAUUUCUGACCCAAAUUCUUGUAUUUUUGUUAUUGAUGGUAUGAUGCAAGCAGCACAACACGUGUUUUAAGAAGUCUGUUACAGAUGUGGUGAAGGCUUCAGGCAUGAUGCCUUUGCUUGAUGCUCCAGUUGGAGAUGCUGAUACUGAAUCAAGCUUUCAGGGGAGGAUGGGACUGACUGAGGAUGACCCAUGUAUGUUUGUUCUCCCUGUUGUGAAGGUUUGGAGUCCCUGGGUGGCAUGGUGCCCACCUGGUGCAGGAUAGGAGUAGCUGAGAGGACCAGAUGGUUUAUAAUAAUGCUUUGCUCUGCUUUACUCUGUUUUCCAUGACCAAAGUUUUAUCCUACAUCUUACAUGUCAAUAAACAAAGUCUUAUCCUGU